rnacentral:rRNA from 1 species
AACGAACGCUGGCGGCAUGCCUAACACAUGCAAGUCGAACAAGACCUUCGGGUCUAGUGGCGCACGGGUGCGUAACGCGUGGGAACCUGCCCUUAGGUUCGGAAUAACUCCCCGAAAGGGGUGCUAAUACCGGAUAAUGUCUUCGGACCAAAGAUUUAUCGCCUUUGGAUGGGCCCGCGUUGGAUUAGCUAGUUGGUAGGGUAAAAGCCUACCAAGGCGACGAUCCAUAGCUGGUCUGAGAGGAUGAUCAGCCACACUGGGACUGAGACACGGCCCAGACUCCUACGGGAGGCAGCAGUGGGGAAUAGUGGACAAUGGGCGAAAGCCUGAUCCAGCAAUGCCGCGUGAGUGAUGAAGGCCUUAGGGUUGUAAAGCUCUUUUAACCGGGAUGAUAAUGACAGUACCGGGAGAAUAAGCGCCGGCUAACUCCGUG